GAUGAACGCUAGCGGCAGGCUUAAUACAUGCAAGUCGAGGGACAGCACAGGUAGCAAUACUGGGUGGUAACCGGCAAACGGGUGCGGAACACGUACACAACCUUCCUUUAAGUGGGGGAUAGCCCAGAGAAAUUUGGAUUAAUACCCCGUAAUAUAGUUGAAUGGCAUCAUUUGAUUAUUAUAGCUACGGCGCUUAAUGAUGGGUGUGCGGCUGAUUAGAUAGUUGGCGGGGUGACGGCCCACCAAGUCUACGAUCAGUAGCUGAUGUGAGAGCAUGAUCGGCCACACGGGCACUGAGACACGGGCCCGACUCCUACGGGAGGCAGCAGUAAGGAAUAUUGGUCAAUGGACGCAAGUCUGAACCAGCCAUGCCGCGUGAAGGAUUAAGGUCCUCUGGAUUGUAAACUUCUUUUAUUUGGGACGAAAAAGGGCCUUUCUAGGUCAACUGACGGUACCAGAUGAAUAAGCACCGGCUAACUCCGUGCCAGCCGCCGCCGUAAAAC
rnacentral:rRNA from 1 species